rnacentral:rRNA from 1 species
AAUUUGAAAUCUGGCCCCUUCGGGGUCCGAGUUGUAAUUUGUAGAGAGCGCUUCGGGUGAGGUCGCGGUCUAAGUCCAUUGGAACAUGGCGUCGUAGAGGGUGAGAAUCCCGUAUGCGACCGCGGACCGAGCCCAUGUGAAGCCUCUUCGACGAGUCGAGUUGUUUGGGAAUGCAGCUCAAAAUGGGUGGUAUAUUUCAUCUAAAGCUAAAUAUUGGCUGGAGACCGAUAGCGCACAAGUAGAGUGAUCGAAAGAUGAAAAGCACUUUGGAAAGAGAGUCAAACAGUACGUGAAAUUGUUGAAAGGGAAGCGCUUGCAACCAGACCUGCCCGGGGGCGAUCAGCCGCUGUUCUCAGCGGUGCACUCGUUCCCCGAUCAGGCCAGCAUCGGUUUCGGCGGUCGGACAAAGGCCCCGGGAAUGUAGCUUCCCUCGGGGAGUCUUAUAGCCCGGGGUGCAAUGCGGCCAGCCGGGACCGAGGACCGCGCUUCGGCUAGGAUGCUGGCGUAAUGGUUGUCAGCGACCC